rnacentral:rRNA from 1 species
AAAACAUGUCUUUUAGAAAAAAUUUAAAGUCCAAUCUGCUCACUGAAUUUUUAAAGAGCCGCAGUAUUUUGACUGUGCAAAGGUAGCAUAAUCAAUAGUUUUUUAAUUGAGAACUAGUAUGAACGAUUAGACAAGAAACUGAUUUUCUUUGUUUUUAUAAAUUUAAUUUUAAGUUUAAGUGAAAAUGCUUAAAUGAUUUUAAAAGACGAGAAGACCCUAUAGAUUUUUAUUAUUGAUUUAAAUUCUAAAUAAUGAUUUAUUAAAAUAAUUUAAUUGGGGUGAUUAUGUAAUAUAAAAAACUUAAUUUAUUAAAACCAUAAAUAAUUGAAUGUGCGGAUUUAAAAUUUUUAAUUGAAAGAUUAAAUUACCUUAGGGAUAACAGCGUAAUUUUAUUUAAGAGUUCAUAUCUAUAAUAAAGCUUGCGACCUCGAUGUUGAAUUAAGAUAAUAUAUUGGAGUAGAAGCUAAUAUAAUUAGUCUGUUCGACUAUUAAAUUCUUACGUGAUCUG